UACGGAGGAUGCAAGCGUUAUCCGGAAUGAUUGGGCGUAAAGCGUCCGUAGGUGGCUAUUCAAGUCUGCUGUUAAAGCGCAGGGCUUAACCCUGUAAAGGCGGUGGAAACUGGAGAGCUAGAGUGUGGUAGGGGUAGAGGGAAUUCCCGGUGUAGCGGUGAAAUGCGUAGAGAUCGGGAAGAACACCAGUGGCGAAAGCGCUCUGCUGGACCAUAACUGACACUCAGGGACGAAAGCUAGGGGAGCGAAUGGG
rnacentral:rRNA from 1 species